CUCAGGACUUUUGAGCGUCCCUGAGCCCCUGCCCCCCCCAGUACCAGGCCCCACGGGCUCACCCUGCCCUUGCGUUGCAGGUUCAGCACCUCCCGGCAGACCCUGACGUGGAUCUCGGACUCCUUCUUCUCCAGCCUCCUGAGCGGCCGCAUCUCCACCCUGAAGGAUGAGACCGGAGCGAUCUUCAUCGACCGAGACCCCACCGUCUUCGCGCCAAUUCUCAACUUCCUGCGCACCAAGGAGCUCGACCCCAGGGGCGUCAACAUCUCCCUGCUGCUGCAUGAAGCCGAGUUCUACGGAAUCACCCCGCUGGGU